ACAACAAACUGAAGAUUGUAAAUCACUAGAAGUUGAGAAGUAUCUCAGAUCGUGCAUUAAAUCAUAUCCACACGUCCAUUCAGUUUUAUUUAAACAGUUAGUCCAAGUGGUUGCUGACACAUCCCUAGGAGAUCAACCUACCACACUAACACAAGUGAUUGCUGCCAUACAAGGAAACAGAGGUUUUAUUGAUCAAGAAUCAUGUUCUACUUGUGGGACAACUUCUAAAAAUGUUAAGAAAUGCUCAAAAUGCA